rnacentral:piRNA from 1 species
UCAGUCUGCAUGACGUUAUUGUAUGUAA